rnacentral:rRNA from 1 species
ACGAACGCUGGCGGCGUGCCUAACACAUGCAAGUCGAACGGAGUAUAAAGGAAGCUUGCGAAUUUAUACUUAGUGGCGGACGGGUGAGUAACGCGUGGAUAACCUGCCUGAUAGCCUGGGAUAACAGCUGGAAACGGCUGCUAAUACCGGAUACGCUUGCGGAGUCGCAUGGCUUUGCAAGGAAAGCUUUCGUGCUAUCAGAUGGAUCCGCGUCCCAUUAGCUAGUUGGUGGUGUAGAGGACCACCAAGGCGACGAUGUGUAGCCGGCCUGAGAGGGCGAACGGCCACACUGGGACUGAGACACGGCCCAGACUCCUACGGGAGGCAGCAGUGGGGAAUCUUCCGCAAUGGGCGAAAGCCCUGACGGAGCAACGCCGCGUGAGGGAAGAAGGCCUUCGGGUUGUAAACCUCUGUUUUCAGGGAAGAAGAAAGUGACGGUACCUGAAGAGUAAGCUCCGGCUAACUACGUGCCAGCAGCCGC